CCUACGGGUGGCAGCAGUGGGGAAUAUUGCACAAUGGGGGAAACCCUGAUGCAGCGACGCCGCGUGAGUGAAGAAGUAUUUCGGUAUGUAAAGCUCUAUCAGCAGGGAAGAAAAUGACGGUACCUGAGUAAGAAGCCCCGGCUAACUACGUGCCAGCAGCCGCGGUAAUACGUAGGGGGCAAGCGUUAUCCGGAUUUACUGGGUGUAAAGGGAGCGUAGACGGCAGGGCAAGUCUGGAGUGAAAGGCGAGGGCUCAACCCCCGGACUGCUCUGGAAACUGUACGGCUGGAGUGCAGGAGAGGUAAGUGGAAUUCCUAGUGUAGCGGUGAAAUGCGUAGAUAUUAGGAGGAACACCAGUGGCGAAGGCGGCUUACUGGACUGUAACUGACGUUGAGGCUCGAAAGCGUGGGGAGCAAACAGGAUUAGAUACCCGGAUAGUC
rnacentral:rRNA from 1 species